CACCCUUGAUAAUUGCUCAUGAGGAAUUUCAGGUAGAUUUCCAGUGCACUUUUAGGUAAAUUUAAGUAGAUUUGCAGAAGAUUUUCAGGGGAAUUCAGGUAAUUCUCAGGACAUGAGAAAGUGAAUUUGGAAAACAACUGUAUUUUCGGAAAAAUUAUUAUAUGUCCUGAAAAUUUUUUGUACAUCUGGAAACAUUUUGGUAACCCCCCCCCCCCCCCCUCUAUCUAACCUCACACACCCCCUGAGACGAAGUGCUAGCAACGGCACUGAGUAUACAUCUUUUGAAAACAGGCGAG
rnacentral:lncRNA from 1 species